GACGAACCGUGCGAACGUUGUUCGGAAUCAUUGGGCUUAAAGGGCGCGUAGGCGGGCCCGCAAGUCAGGGGUGAAAUCCCACGGCUCAACCGUGGAAGUGCCUCUGAUACUGCGGGCCUCGAGGGGGGUAGGGGCGUGCGGAACUUCCGGUGGAGCGGUGAAAUGCGUAGAUAUCGGAAGGAACACCGGUGGCGAAAGCGGCGCGCUGGACCCCUUCUGACGCUGAUGCACGAAAGCUAGGGGAGCAAACAGG
rnacentral:rRNA from 1 species